UACGAAGGGGGCUAGCGUUGUUCGGAAUCACUGGGCGUAAAGCGUACGUAGGCGGAUCGUUAAGUCAGGGGUGAAAGCCUGGAGCUCAACUCCAGAACUGCCUUUGAUACUGGCGAUCUUGAAACCGGGAGAGGUGAGUGGAACUGCUAGUGUAGAGGUGAAAUUCGUAGAUAUUAGCAAGAACACCAGUGGCGAAGGCGGCUCACUGGCCCGGUACUGACGCUGAGGUACGAAAGCGUGGGGAGCAAACAGG
rnacentral:rRNA from 1 species